GACGAGUGGCGGAUGGGUGAGUAACGCGUAUGCAACCUUCCUCACACCGAGAAAAAGUCGACUGAAAAGUUGAAUAAAGUCUCGUGGUGUGCAUUUCUCGCAUGAGAGAUGUAUGAUAGAAGCAAUUUGGUGUGAGAUGGGCAUGCGUAUCAUUAGCUAGUUGGUAAGGUAACGGCUUACCAAGGCGACGAUGAUUAGGGGGCCUGAGAGGGUGGUCCCCCACACUGGGACUGAGACACGGCCCAGACUCC
rnacentral:rRNA from 1 species